GGAGGUGAAAGGGGCCCGGUGGCUCCUGCGGUCUUCAAAACCGUUAUGCCGUCUAACGGCGGCAGGUGGGUUCGACUCCCAUUCACCUCCGCCA
rnacentral:tRNA from 1 species